rnacentral:snRNA from 12 species
GUACUUACCUGGUAGAGGAGAUAUUAGAAUCAUGUUGUAGGUGGCUUUCCCAGGAUGAGGCUGACCCUUGUGAUUUCCCCAAAUGUGGGAAACUGCAUGAUUUGUGGUAACUGAGGUCUGUAUUCAUGCUAUUCUCUG